rnacentral:lncRNA from 1 species
AUGAGUGAGUCAGCAUCUCAAGAGGACCCUGAACCUUCUCAGGAAAAUGGAAAAGAAGACAAGGAAAGGAAAGAGGAAGCAACUGAAGUGGAAGAGCCUACUGAGAGUUCACAGAGUGUACCCGGCAGUUCUGCAUUAGACACCAGAAGCAAUGUGGCAGAAACAGCAGCGGCUGAAAUCAAAUCCCAAGGUAGAGAACUAGCUUUCCCCUACACUGUGGAAUUUAAAACAAUUAUAUUUUCAUUGGGGAUGCAUUCCGUAAGAUUUUACCUUUAAAAAAAAUAUAAUCCUGGGGUAUUUUAAAUACGAUUUGGGAAAUAGUUAAAAAUACAUUCCCCUCACCAUCUAUUAAUACUUUUGAGGCAACUUUAUUCAUCUCAUGCUUAAAGAGAAAAUUUAGCUGAGAGCUGCCUGACACAUACCCAUUAAUGCAAAAAUAAAAUGAAGAACACAAGUGAUUUGGCGGGCUUU